AGUUCCCUGAAUCCAUAUGGAAUAAAUUCUGCUCAAUGAAAAAAUUAAAUAGCCGAAGUAUAACUGACUUUGACAAAGUAACUUAAUAAUGUGCUUUAUAAAUUAAAGAUCGUAUGAACGAAUUAAUAUUUAAAAACUGUUUCUACUUAAAAAAUUGAAUUUAAAUUUCAUGUUAAAAUGCAUGAAUAAAAAAAAAGACGAAAAGACCCUAAAAGUUUAUAAUAAAUAUUUUAAUUAAAAUUAAAUUUUGAUGGGGGUUUAUUAUAAUAAAAUAGUAUUAUAUAUAAAAAAAAACAUAUUUUAUGAAUAAAAAAUUAAAUUACUUUAGGGAUAACAGAGUAAUAUUUCCUAAAAAGAUCAUAUUUAAAGGAUAGAUUACUACCUCGAUGUUGAAUUAUUUUAUCUUUAGAAUGCAGGAGUUUUAAAAAGUUUGGUUUGUUCACCCAAUUAAAAAUACA
rnacentral:rRNA from 1 species